GCCUGAGUAGCUCAGUGGUAGAGCGAGGGACUCAUAAGCCCUAGGUCGUAGGUUCGAUCCCUACCUCAGGCA
rnacentral:tRNA from 1 species